UUGAACGCUGGCGGCAGGCCUAACACAUGCAAGUCGAGCGGCAGCGCGGGGCAACCUGGCGGCGAGCGGCGAACGGGUGAGUAACGCGUAGGAAUCUACCCAGUAGCGGGGGAUAGCCCGGGGAAACUCGGAUUAAUACCGCAUACGCCCUAAGGGGGAAAGCAGGGGAUCUUCGGACCUUGCACUAUUGGAAGAGCCUGCGUUGGAUUAGCUAGUUGGUAGGGUAAAGGCCUACCAAGGCGACGAUCCAUAGCUGGUCUGAGAGGAUGAUCAGCCACACCGGAACUGGGACACGGUCCGGACUCCUACGGGAGGGAGCAGUGGGGAAUAGUGGACGAUGGGGGCAACCCUGAUCCAGCCAUGCCGCGUGUGUGAAGAAGGCCUUCGGGUUGUAAAGCACUUUAAGUGGGGAGAAAGGCUCGGCAGCUAAUAUCUGCCGGGAUUGAUGCUACCCACAGAAUAAGCACCGGCUAACUCUGUGCCAGCCGCCGCCGUAA
rnacentral:rRNA from 1 species